AUGAACGCUGGCGGCGUGCUUAACCCAUGCAAGUCGAACGAAGCACUUAAGAUUGAUUCUUCGGAUGACGUCUUUUGUGACUUAGUGGCGGACGGGUGAGUAACGCGUGGGUAACCUGCCUCACACAGGGGGAUAACAGUAAGAAAUGACUGCUAAUACCGCAUAACCCGAUAGGAUCGCAUGAUCCAGACGGAAAAGAUUUAUCGGUGUGAGAUGGACCCGCGUCUGAUUAGCUAGUUGGUGAGGUAACGGCCCACCAAGGCGACGAUCAGUAGCCGGCCUGAGAGGGUGAACGGCCACAUUGGGACUGAGACACGGCCCAAACUCCUACGGGAGGCAGCAGUGGGGAAUAUUGCACAAUGGGGGAAACCCUGAUGCAGCGACGCCGCGUGAGUGAAGAAGUAUUUCGGUAUGUAAAGCUCUAUCAGCAGGGAAGAAAAUGACGGUACCUGACUAAGAAGCCCCGGCUAACUACGU
rnacentral:rRNA from 1 species